rnacentral:tRNA from 1 species
GGAUGGCCGAGUGGUUUAAGGCGACGGUCUUGAAAACCGUAGACCGAAAGGUCCGUGGGUUCGAAUCCUACUCCCUCCG